rnacentral:rRNA from 1 species
CGAACGCUGGCGGCGUGCUUAACACAUGCAAGUCGAACGAUGAUGCCCUUUGGGGUUGAUUAGUGGCGAACGGGUGAGUAACACGUGAGUAACCUGCCCUUCACUUCGGGAUAACUGUGGGAAACUUCAGCUAAUACCGGGUAUGACUCAGCUUCGCAUGGGGUUGGGUGGAAAGAUUUUUUGGUGGGGGAUGGGCUCGCGGCCUAUCAGCUUGUUGGUGGGGUGAUGGCUUACCAAGGCUUUGACGGGUAGCCGGCCUGAGAGGGCGACCGGCCACACUGGGACUGAGAUACGGCCCAGACUCCUACGGGAGGCAGCAGUGGGGAAUAUUGCACAAUGGGCGGAAGCCUGAUGCAGCAACGCCGCGUGCGGGAUGGAGGCCUUCGGGUUGUAAACCGCUUUCACUGCCGACGAAUGUGACGGUAGGCGGAGAAGAAGCACCGGCUAACUAC